rnacentral:rRNA from 1 species
AUUGAACGCUGGCGGCAGGCCUAACACAUGCAAGUCGAGCGGAUGAAGGGAGCUUGCUCCUGGAUUCAGCGGCGGACGGGUGAGUAAUGCCUAGGAAUCUGCCUGGUAGUGGGGGAUAACGUCCGGAAACGGGCGCUAAUACCGCAUACGUCCUGAGGGAGAAAGUGGGGGAUCUUCGGACCUCACGCUAUCAGGUGAGCCUAGGUCGGAUUAGCUAGUUGGUGGGGUAAAGGCCUACCAAGGCGACGAUCCGUAACUGGUCUGAGAGGAUGAUCAGUCACACUGGAACUGAGACACGGUCCAGACUCCUACGGGAGGCAGCAGUGGGGAAUAUUGGACAAUGGGCGAAAGCCUGAUCCAGCCAUGACGCGUGUGUGAAGAAGGUCUUCGGAUUGUAAAGCACUUUAAGUUGGGAGGAAGGGCAGUAAGUUAAUACCUUGCUGUUUUGACGUUACCAACAGAAUAAGCACCGGCUAACUUCGUG